GCGGGUGUUGCCAAGUGGUAAGGCCCCAGCUUCCCAAGCUGGUAUUCGCGGGUUCGAGUCCCGUCACCCGCUCCA
rnacentral:tRNA from 2 species